UGCAGUCGACGGAGUGCCCAUGACAGAGGAUUCGUCCAAUGGAUUGGGUUACUUAGUGGCGGACGGGUGAGUAACGCGUGAGGAACCUGCCUCGGAGUGGGGAAUAACACAACGAAAGCUGUGCUAAUACCGCAUGAUACAGUUGGGUCGCAUGACUCUGACUGUCAAAGAUUUAUCGCUCUGAGAUGGCCUCGCGUCUGAUUAGCUAGUUGGUGGGGUAACGGCCCACCAAGGCGACGAUCAGUAGCCGGACUGAGAGGUUGACCGGCCACAUUGGGACUGAGACACGGCCCAGACUCCUACGGGAGGCAGCAGUGGGGAAUAUUGGGCAAUGGGCGCAAGCCUGACCCAGCAACGCCGCGUGAAGGAAGAAGGCUUUCGGGUUGUAAACUUCUUUUCUCAGGGACGAAGCAAGUGACGGUACCUGAGGAAUAAGCCACGGCUAACUACGUGCCAGCAGCCGCGGUAAUACGUAGGUGGCAAGCGUUAUCCGGAUUUACUGGGUGUAAAGGGCGUGUAGGCGGGAUCGCAAGUCAGAUGUGAAAACUGGAGGCUCAACCUCCAGCCUGCAUUUGAAACUGUGGUUCUUGAGUACUGGAGAGGCAGACGGAAUUCCUAGUGUAGCGGUGAAAUGCGUAGAUAUUAGGAGGAACACCAGUGGCG
rnacentral:rRNA from 1 species